rnacentral:sRNA from 1 species
GCUAAAAUUGAAUAGCGCAAAUCCUGUGGUUUCCUUUUAAAAAAAAAAAAAGAAUAUAGGAAUCUCGUUUGGACUAGCAGACUCAAAGAUUAACAUACUAAUAUUUGAUUCUAAUAACUUAGAAUUGACUUUAGGGUAGAGAAUUACUUAGUUUGAUUUUUUAUAUGGUUGUACAAUACUCAAGCAUUAUUCCAAAAACAAAAUGGUGUUAAUGAUAUUUGAUAUUGUGAUAUCUUUUUUAAGAUGAAAAGAAAUGUGUGUUUAUUUGUGUCUAUAUAUAUAUAUAUAUAUAUAUAUGAAGAGCACGUAUGUAUGGUAAUGCAUGUAUUAAUGUGUAAGUAUAUUUGUGUAUUUACUUUCAUUUCCGGUUAUUUAUUUAUUAGUUUUGAUAUGCUAUUCUCAUUUCACUUUUUUGGCUCUGAUUAAUUUAACCACACCUGAUGUAAUAGAAUUUAUUGGUUAACUUGAUAAAACUGAUUUUUUUAUGAUUUAUGUAGAGUGUCAUCGACUAUGAAUAAUUGUGCAAACUUUCAACAUAAUCCGAGAAUGGAAAGUGAUAGAAGAAACGUGAACAUAUUGUAGAAAUGGAAAUAACUUCACAUAUACAGCCACAUCUCUCAAUAUGAAACCUUUAUUUCCCUUUUCGAUAUCAAACACAAUAAUUAAUUACCAAGUAUUAAUUAACUAUUUAAAUAAUAAAGAAUAAAUUCCACGCAUAUAGCCACAUCACUCAAUAAAUAGCAUAUCAACCCCCCACCCCCAGACUUAUUAGUAUAUUAACUGGAUAUAAUUUUAAGUUGAUUCAAGAUCUAUAGGAAUAACCAUUAAUUGGUUAAAAUUAUAACUUAAUCCGAUAGUGGGUGUUGGAGAAAUAACGUCUAGAAAAGUUUACCAGACAGACAGACAGACUGAGUAGAUACAAGAUUUGUAACAAAAAAACAACAACACCUUUAUUUCUUCCCCCCAGAAAAACUUGUAGUCCAACCAGGUAAAGUCCAGCAGCUGUUCACUGAUCUAAAAAAUGUCCGCGUUAGACUGGCCAUCCCUAAAUUUAAGACCGAGUCUACACUGUCCCUCAACACUCCAUUAGAAGACCUGGGCAUGACCAGAGCUUUCAGUCCAAGUCUGGCCUAUUUUGGUGGCAUUGCUACAGUCACGUUCUACACAAGACUGUUCUCGAGGUCAAAGAAAGUAAGACUGUGGCUGCUGCAGCGACUGACAUUAACAUUUCUAUAAGGACUGGAUUUAUAAUGCCGCCCUCUGAAUCGUUCACCGCUGACCAUCCAUUUGUGUACUUUCUGAGAGAUAAUCAAACUGGACAGAUUCUCUUCCAAGGGAAAUUCUCUGGUUAAAACUUUUCUAUUUUUUUUUCGCUGUUUCAAUGCGUUGUUAAUAAAUAAAUAAAUCAAAAACGUA